rnacentral:rRNA from 1 species
CAUGAGCAACCUGCCCUUCAGAGGGGGACAACAGUUGGAAACGACUGCUAAUACCGCAUAACAUAUCCGGGAGGCAUCUCCUGGAUAUCAAAGAUUUAUCGCUGAAGGAUGGGCUCAUGUCUGAUUAGCUAGUUGGUGGGGUAACGGCCCACCAAGGCUACGAUCAGUAGCCGGUCUGAGAGGAUGAACGGCCACAUUGGGACUGAGAUACGGCCCAGACUCCUACGGGAGGCAGCAG